rnacentral:rRNA from 1 species
UACGUAGGGUGCAAGCGUUGUCCGGAAUUAUUGGGCGUAAAGAGCUCGUAGGCGGUCUGUCACGUCGGCUGUGAAAACCCGAGGCUCAACCUCGGGCCUGCAGUCGAUACGGGCAGACUAGAGUGUGGUAGGGGAGACUGGAAUUCCUGGUGUAGCGGUGAAAUGCGCAGAUAUCAGGAGGAACACCGGCGGCGAAGGCGGGUCUCUGGGCCAUAACUGACGCUGAGGAGCGAAAGCGUGGGGAGCGAACCGG